UACGAAGGGGGCUAGCGUUGUUCGGAAUCACUGGGCGUAAAGCGCACGCAGGCGGAUUGAUAAGUCAGGGGUGAAAUCCCGGAGCUCAACUUCGGAAUUGCCUUUGAUACUGUCUGUCUUGAGUCCGGGAGAGGUGAGUGGAAUUCCUAGUGUAGAGGUGAAAUUCGUAGAUAUUAGGAAGAACACCGGUGGCGAAGGCGGCCAUCUGGACCGCAACUGACGCUGAGGCGCGAAAGCG
rnacentral:rRNA from 1 species